GCUAUCUACACGUUUUGCACAUUUCCUCCCUACUUUAGGCACACUAAGGAAAGUUUCAGUUUCAUAGAUCUGUGUCCCUAACCCGACAUCAAGAAUAUCAUUCCACGGCUGAGUAGGCGAGCUACGGUCAGCUGAUAAGGGCAAAUUAAUAUCAGGGGGACGAGUUAUGACAACUUGGCGAUUCAUCUCAAGGUCUAAUUCAUCAUGUGAAGAAGAAGCACUGGAAUCCAUGGACAAAAGGGUUGAAGGAUGAUGAUUCUCCAUUGACAGAGUUGUAAGAAGAGUAUCUACCAUUUCACAAAUUUCUCCCUUGAAAAUAGGGACUCUCUAAUUACUAAUCCUAGCUCCAAUUCUUAAGUACCCAAAUGAACUUUCUUGAAAAAAAUUCAAUCUUUACAAACAACACAUCCAUCAUACUAAUCCCAACAACAACAACAACAUUUACACCACCAUCAAAUCCUUUUUACUUAUUCAUCACAUAACUACAAACCCUCAAAAAACCCAAAUAACAAAAUAGUCAAAAAUAACAUACAAGUCGAAAGAAAAACUAGAUGAACACUGUAUUCAACCCUAACCCAAGA
rnacentral:misc_RNA from 1 species